CUAUCAAAGAAAUAUCGGUUCCCGUAUGAUCACCGAAGUCAAGCAACGUUGGACCGGGUCAGUACCUAAAUGGGUGACCGCUCGGGAAUACCAGGUGCCGUAA